rnacentral:lncRNA from 1 species
GUGGGCAGCUUUCCCAUUUAUGUGACUAUAAUUAAGAGGAAGCUUGGAUCAUAGACACCAUGUAUAACACUUAGCAUCUCAUUUUAAUUACGACGUACCCCGGUGAUCUCACCAGUUCAUCAUGCUAUUCCAACUAAGGUGAUAAUGCAGCACAAGUAAAAAUCUUAUUGUUGGGAUAUACCGAUCGAUCCUCCUUACGCCGACUCACCGUCGGAUCCGUCUGACCAGUAUCC